rnacentral:rRNA from 1 species
AAUGAACGCUGGCGGCGCGCCUAAUACAUGCAAGUCGAGCGAGAAGACGUAGCAAUACGUUUGUAAAGCGGCGAACGGGUGAGGAAUACAUGGGUAAUCUGCCCCCCGGUCAGGAAUAACCCGCCGAAAGGCGGGCUAAUACCCGAUAACACUGACGCUCUGCGGAGUGUCUUUCAAAGAAGGCCUCUGUUUACAAGCUUUCACCGGAGGAUGAGCCCGCGUACCAUUAGCUAGUUGGCAGGGUAAUGGCCUACCAAGGCAACGGUGGUUAGCUGGUCUGAGAGGAUGACCAGCCACACUGGAACUGAGACACGGUCCAGACUCCUACGGGAGGCAGCAGUGAGGAAUCUUGCGCAAUGGGGGAAACCCUGACGCAGCAACGCCGCGUGAGUGAGGAAGGCUUUCGGGUCGUAAAGCUCUGUCGGAUGGGAAGAAAUGGUUGGGGGUUAAUACCCUCCGUCCUUGACGGUACCAUCAGAGGAAGCACCGGCUAACUCCGUGCCAGCAGCCGCCGUAAAAC